rnacentral:lncRNA from 1 species
UCACAAUACUCUUCAUUGAGAGAAAUUUUAAAGGUAGAGACAAAAAUGAAAACUUGGGUAUUUAUUUUACACAUUACAGUCUAUAAGAUAUUAUGAAAUAAUAGUAUUCUUAUGAGAGACUUGACUAUUAACAAGAGUGUUUUGCAAUUAAAAAGGGAUUCAAUUAAACAGAAGAAAAAUAACAAUCAAAUUUGUGUAUGGUAGAACAAUGAGAUAAUCUAUGUACAAUGUAUUAUAUUACAUCUCUGAGCACCUAUAGUUUUCACUGAGCAUAUUUAUACUCUUUGUUAAGCCUACAUGGAAAUCCAUACUAAAUUAAGUUUAUAAUAGAAUUAAAAAUUGCAACAGAAUGAAUUAAACUGGGAACAACAAUUAAAUGGCAUUACUGAAAUUGUCCCUUGAUUUCUUAUUGAAUAAUAGUUUAUUCACAUAUUUAUUAUGAGCAAAAAGUCUUUUCAGUGUUGAGAAAACUGAUUUCAGUAAUGCCUUUGGUCAGCAUUCUAUAACCUCCUUUAGAAAAGAUGAAGAAAGGUAAUCUAAAUGAUUUUACUGGAAAUUGAGCUGGAAUUGGUAAAAACAUUUUAUCUAUUUAUGUGUUGGAGAUAUGAUGUUUAGAGAAAUGUGGGAAGCCGCUUGCACGUGACUGUGACUGAGAUACCUCCCUGACUGGGUAUGAGGUACUCAGACCAGCUGAGUCAGAGCUUUCCCCACCCUUUCCAGGUGCGAGGGCUUGUCCGUGUGGGGGUGUGGCUGACCAUUGACCUGGAAACCAAUCACUGACCCUGACUUUGGAAUACUGUCUCCCUCUACCUUCAUUGGAUGGAAUUUUCCCCUGAUUUUUUUAUUUCCCAAUAAAAGCCCACUCUCUGGUAUGUUCCUCCCUCUUUCCUGCUGGUCUCUUGUGUAAACCUCGCUACCCACAAGGUGGCUCAAGGCAGGAGCCAGGAAGGGCUGUCUCUGAGCUGGGCAAGAAAAAGGUAAAUUGAGUUUAUGUGUCUUUAUUUUCAUCCCACUAGUUAACUUCUAUGUUUUGAACCUCUAGUAUGAAGCUGCAACAAAGAGAAACACUAUCUUUACCUGAUAAUUCAAAGGCUCUUCCCAACAUGUAUUUGGGUAAAACCAGAAAACGCGUGAAGAAGUUGAAUUUCUUAGUAACAGCAAUCAUUUAGGUUAUGCCCAAAUUUGCCUUCCUGUCUUCAAAGAAUCUCCUUCCUCUGGGACAGAUUCUUCAC